rnacentral:misc_RNA from 1 species
UAUGUGAUUUUGUUUCGUAUUGCAAUACACCAAUACAGUGUACCCCAUGCUAUAACAUGUAUGGUGGAUAUGCAGUAACAAUUAAAAUUCAUUCUGUAUAGAAUAUGCUAAUACAUGUAGCUGUUUCAGAAUUAUUUUGACUAGAAGUAUCACUUGAACUUACCCAGUAGUGAAAUGAUGUUCUGCAAAACAUAGUCAUCAAACUGUCUUUAAAAUGCACUGAUAGUUAGUGGGUUAAAAAUGACAGUAAGACUUCUCACAAAUUUGAUUUUUUGAUAGUUUGAUUUUUAUUAUUGUGUGUCUGUUGUAAAAUUCACAUGUCUGUUGAUUUUGUCCCAUGUGCAUUUCAAAUAAACUAUUUUUGUACACAAUGUUUGUGCUAUCACAAAACCAGAAGUAUUAAAGGAACUGAAUGUG